AUCACGUGACUCCGUUUGACCAAUCCAACGUAAGCAGUGUAGUGACGUUGGACUGCAUUUCACCAAGCAAACAAGCACGAAGUACAGCUGCAUGAAGCUUCAAAUAGCGCCACCCACUCGCGCCCACCCUCCACCCAGAACAAUAUUGAGCCGUUCCCGGGCCUCUCAGGGAAGCCAAAGGCAGAGCAGCUCGAAUUAGUGACACUUAUUAUUCCCACUAAUGAGUCCCGAUCUCAAAGGCAACAAAACUCCGAUGUUUACUUGGACUUUGGGAGAAGUGCAGCUUGUCAGAAAAUCAUCUUGACCUUGCAGAGGACUGUUUCAACUGGAAAGAUCGAAGGUCAAAAGGUCGGAAUUACGCUGCCAGGGUUCAUUGUGGAAGGGGUGGUGUUGGGGGCUUAAAACUGACCAGGCUCCUGGCGUCAAAAACACUCAAAUCUGCUCCAGGCAGCCGUGAAAAGUUUAUUUGUGCUGUAGGAAAUGCUCCGAAGGUGGCGUGGAUCAAGGUGGGGGUGGGGGAGUUAAUUUGCCAGAAGGUAUUCCUUCAAAUCUUUGGUUAAAACGGUCUAAAAUGGCGAAUCUACACACAAAACAUGACGUAUUUGUUCCUAAAUACGAAAUAAUAACCAAUUAAAACCAUUAAAAAUGCCUUUUUAGAGCCUUCACUUGUUUUAGCUUAAAGGCCUACUGAAAUGAGAUUUUCUUAUUUAAACGGGGAUAUUCUAUGUGUCAUACUUGAUCAUUUCGCGAUAUUGCCAUAUUUUUGCUGAAAGGAUUUAGUAGAGAACAUCCACGAUAAAGUUCGCAACUUU